rnacentral:rRNA from 1 species
UGUUUAAUUUUUAUUAAGUCUAACCUGCUCAAUGAUUUAUUAUAUUAAAUAGCCGCAGUAUUUUGACUGUGCAAAGGUAGCAUAAUCAUUUGUCUUUUAAUUGAAGGCUAGUAUGAAUGGUUUGAUGAAAUAAUCCCUUUCUUUAUUUUAUAUUGUUGAAUUUAAUUUUUUAGUUAAAAAGCUUAAAUUUUUAAGUGGGACGAGAAGACCCUGUAGAAUUUUAUUUUAUGAUAUUAUUUAAUUUAUGGUUAAUUGUAUAUUUAAUUAUUUAUAAAAUUUUGUUGGGGCGAUAGUGAGAUUUACUUAACUCUCAUAUUUUAUUUAUUAUUUAUUGAUAUAUUAAAGAUCCUUUAUUAUGGAUUAUUAGAUUAAAUUACCUCAGGGAUAACAGCGUAAUCUCUCUUUAGAGUUCUCAUCCUUGGAGGGGAUUGCGACCUCGAUGUUGGAUUAAAAUUAGUUUUGAGUGAAGAAGCUUAAUUACUAGG